UGGGGAAUAUUGCGCAAUGGCCGAAAGGCUGACGCAGCGACGCCGCGUGUGGGAGGAAGCCCUUCGGGGUGUAAACCACUGUCGGGAGGGACGAAUCGCGGACGGGCAAAUAGCCCGGACGCUUGACGGUACCUUCAAAGGAAGCACCGGCUAACCCUGUGCCAGCAGCCGCGGUAAUACAGGGGGUGCAAGCGUUGUUCGGAAUUACUGGGCGUAAAGCGCGGGCAGGUGGCCUUUUAAGUCCUUUGUGAAAUUCCGGAGCUCAACUCCGGAUGUGCAUAGGAUACUGGAAGGCUAGAGACUGGUAGAGGCGAGCGGAAUUCCUGGUGUAGCGGUGGAAUGCGUAGAUAUCAGGAAGAACACCGGUGGCGAAGGCGGCUCGCUGGGCCAGUUCUGACACUCAUCCGCGAAAGCGUGGGGAGCAAACAGG
rnacentral:rRNA from 1 species